rnacentral:rRNA from 1 species
AGUGAACGCUGGCGGUAGGCCUAACACAUGCAAGUCGAACGGCAGCACAGUAAGAGCUUGCUCUUACGGGUGGCGAGUGGCGGACGGGUGAGGAAUACAUCGGAAUCUACUUUUUCGUGGGGGAUAACGUAGGGAAACUUACGCUAAUACCGCAUACGACCUACGGGUGAAAGCAGGGGAUCUUCGGACCUUGCGCGAUUGAAUGAGCCGAUGUCGGAUUAGCUAGUUGGCGGGGUAAAGGCCCACCAAGGCGCCGAUCCGUAGCUGGUCUGAGAGGAUGAUCAGCCACACUGGAACUGAGACACGGUCCAGACUCCUACGGGAGGCAGCAGUGGGGAAUAUUGGACAAUGGGCGCAAGCCUGAUCCAGCCAUACCGCGUGGGUGAAGAAGGCCUUCGGGUUGUAAAGCCCUUUUGUUGGGAAAGAAAAGCAGCAGGUUAAUACCCCGCUGUUCUGACGGUACCCAAAGAAUAAGCACCGGCUAACUUCGUG